UUUAGUCUAAAAUUUAUAAUAUGCAUACAAGUCUAAUGCAGCCCCCGAACGGAUGGAUACGGUGACUCAUGUUCAUCAACAUGCUUUUAUCAAGGAUCAUUUUACUGGUUUUGGCAAUGAUUCUGCUAUAAUGGGGUGCUUGAAAUAAAUUUUCAAGCAAUUUUAUGGAUCUAUGACAAAGUUGGACUAUAUGGCAUUAAGGCUUGGUUUCAUUAAGGUGACUGUCCCCGUCCUGUUCGUUCCUUUAGUUCCUUCAUUUCGACCCAUUUACACCUUUCUGCAGUUCUUGUGGUUGAGCAAUCAAGCUUGAGGGAGACCCUUUUAUGGGUUUUACAGAAAGGAAUCCCUGUAGCUUAGACAAAGAACAAAUGGUGUAAAAAGCCUCAUGUUAGCCCUCACACUGUGAAGAGUGUUCACAAAAAAAA